UUCACUAAAAAAACAACAAAGGAACAACAUAACAGAAACAACUAAGACUUUAGACUCCUAAUCUCUAGAUCAUAUCUUUAAUUAGAAUAUUUUCAUCGCACCCUCUCCAUCCUUAAUUCUUUCUUCACAAUUCUUUCAACCAACUCAUCCCUCUCUUUCUUUAUUACCACAGUUAUGACCCUUCAUUCUCUUCCUUUCACUUUUCUCUACUUUACUCAACUUCAAAACCCACCAACUCAUUCUUUGGCUCUCCUACCGUAAGCACUGCAUGUAUACAAACAACACUAAACUUCCUCAUCAUUAGACUCCCUUAGCUUCCCACUGAAACUUACUCCAAGAACACCCAAAAACCAAUUCCCCUUACAAAAGUGUAACUCUCUCAUUUCUUCUUUCUUACCCACGUCAUCACUGAAACCUUUCACACAUUUCCCUUAUCUCUCCUCCAACCUUCUAUUCUCUAUUUCCCCUUCUUUGAUUUCACUAAACACUCUAGUAGGAACUCCCUUCUAUGCAAGGAUCUUUCCCCUCGUCUCUAGUUUCAUCUCAACGGGUUAUAGGUGGCAACACCCAUCCUAACCAAAACUAAAAUAUAGCUACCUUCAUUCACGUUCCCUCAUCAUUCUCUCAUGCUCACAAGACCUUCAUCCUUCACUGCCUUCAUUUUAUUCCCUUCCCUUUUCAUUAAUCUCAAUUUAUUCCAACCAUCACAGUCAUGUUCAAUAACCUUACUUUCCCUUUCUUUUUACUACACCUAGACUCUAUACUUUUCUAUGUGAUAA
rnacentral:lncRNA from 1 species